AUGGAUUUCCCCCCUGAGCAGUUCAGGGCCACGGUGGGUGGGUGCGUUUCAAUGCCGCCGCAGGCAGACGACAACUUCGCUACUUCUGGGUCCAGCAUCGUCGAGGCAUUUUUCCCGGAAACCCGCUCGCGAUGGACCUCGCCUCCGACUAGUUCGAAGCCAAUGCGGGUGCACAAGCUGAAGGCCGUGCGGAGGAGCUCGAGGUGCGAGUGCGGCUGUCAGCCAUGGCUUGCAUGCUUCAGCUGCGUCGGGACCACUCUUUCAGUCUUUUUCUCUCUCUCUGCUCACUUCUUCAUCGAAGCGCCCGACUCUUCUGCAGGCUACACUGACACAUUUGAGGCAUUAGCUUUUGAUUCAAACUGGCAUCCGAGCCUAGCUGGCCUCCGAGGCAGCAUUUUUGGGGCUAACCAUUGGCCAUGCCCUUUGGGGUGGCGGCAUGUGUGGUAG
rnacentral:rRNA from 1 species